GUCAGGGGGGCAAAGCGGAGCCUCUUCUGGAAAUUCUCAUGGAACAAGAGAGAGAGAGAGUUCUGCCAUGCCCCCGUCCAUCGGCCCAGGUAGCUUCUGUUUCAGGAAAAAAGAAACUGUCUCCUGAUGCAGCUGGAAGAAGCCACCCGCCUCACGUCCUACCUCCAGUCCUAGUUACAAAGGUGGCCAAGGCAAGUGCGAGAGUGAAUAAUCACCUACAGGCAAAGCUGACCAAGAAAACUUCUCAGAAACCGCCCACCACGAGGAACCUUAGAAAAAUCGGAGGCUCAAAACUCUGUAGCCAGGGUUCCAAGGUGAAUGAAGAGCUGAAUCAGAACGGACCAGAGGAGGUCCCAGAGAGUGUGGAGAUGCCUGUCAUUCCAGCGGGACCGGUGGGCAGCCAGUGACUUGAAGGUGGCCAAGGCAAGUGCGAGAGUGAAUAAUCACCUACAG
ensembl:lncRNA